GAAAGGAUUAAGAGGGCCAGGAUUGAUUAGCCAUGUUUGCUGUGGGUGAGGAGAGUGCUGGCAGCAUGUUUGUCACACAUUUGCCAUCUCCGAUCCAGUGACUCCCACCUCCUAUAUUCCACCCUCGCUUGAUCCUGGCUCUCCUCAGACCAUCUUCUUAUCUUCAAAGAGUUCCCAUGAGUCUGGACACAGUAGCAAGCGUCUGUAGUUGCUGCUUGCCUAGGAAGUAUUGGAAAAGAGGCAUUCUUUCAGCAUGGAGACUGCUAAACCAGAAGUGUGUUAGCUGACGAGGGCAUCCACAUGGAGAGAACAUGCCAGGCAAUAAGCAGAGAUGAAGACAGAGUUAAGAGAUGCAGAGGCUGAGCAGGAGUGACCAUCCAGGCCUGGAGCCAGUAACACCAGAAGCGCUCAUCAUGGGAGAGGUCUGAAGCCGUCAGCUGCCAGCAGCACCCCUUCACUGAUUGGUCCUGCCCCUCAGUUCAUAUGAGGGUGAAGGGAGAGUUCUCUACCUUGGCAAAUGGCACCACCAUCCAUCUGACUGGACCAAGCACAAGCUUGAGAGCCACGCUUGACACCUCCUUUCCCUUCAGCACCUCCCUACCACCACAUUCAAUCUGUCCAGGAAUAGCAGGAGAUAGAAGGAACACAGGGGAGGCAGGAGAGCAAGGCUGUUGCCCUCAUCCGCUACCUCCUGGCUGACUGAGGGCGGAUGUGUUAGAUAAAUCUGAGAACUCAAAGAAGCGCAGAGGUUCUAUUCUGCAACCCAGUAAAGAUGAAGAGGAGGAAGCUAAUUCCCAGGUGCCUACACUGAGCUGACAGACAGAUGCCUCUCCCUGGUAGCUCCAGCACAGUAAAGCAGAGGCAGACUCCAAGGCUCCCUUUGCUGAGUUGCCUUUGCUUCCAGUGAAGGAGAACCCAAGAGUCCAGCAAAGGAGUUCUUGACAUGACAAGGGUGGAGGAUCUGAGCACCCAGGGCCACUGAAUGGAGCAGCCAAGCCAAAGCCAAAUGGGAAUCUCAUCAGAGUUGUCUGAUGCCAGAGAGAGCCAAGGUCGGGAUGAGUCAGCCAGAGGGUGCUCCCAGGCUCUGAUCCAGCUGAGAGGGGCCAGAUCAUGUGUUACACUUCUUCAGAGGCCAGAGGAAGCACAGGGCACAGGCACAAAGACCCUAAAUCUUCCCCAUGGCCCUCGUGAGGUUGCAGAAACCACCACCACCCCUCACACGUAUAUCUGGACACACCAGAUGAGAAUAUACCAGAAGGAAGAAGAAUAUUAUCUGAAAGAUUGAGCCAUUUGUCCAAAAGAGAUUAAUCUAAAUAUACUUUAAUAUUGGUUUUAAUAUUGAUUUAAGCCUUAAUUUGAACACAAAAUUUCUCUUUGCUAACCAGCUGGGUGAGGACUUUAAAGGAAGGUUAUAUUAGGUGGAGAAAAAGUAAAGUAUGUUUUCUCUGCAUAUCCAAAUCAUAGUACAAAGUAAAUACUGUGCAUCUGACACACAGGAAUAAAAGGACCAUGAAAUCACUUGUCAAAAAUCUUAGCAGUUUAGAAAAACCAGGCAGAAAGUUGCUGCAGGGUCGGAUGGGUCACUUUCUUAAAGUUCCCACAGAUAGGGCUGACUGCAGCUUUCACAACUGUAGAAAACACAGGAGGAAAUUCAAAGAGCGAACCACGAUGGUGGAUUCCUAACUCUUGGUCAGACCCGCCCUCUAAGUGGUAGCUCAGCUAGUCUGCCCAUGGUGGGCACCAGGCAACUUCCAUGGAGAGGGGAUAUGCCCACUCACGUCCCCUCCUGGUCAAUACUUAUAGGCAUGUCAGCAAAAAGACUUGUUUAAAAAUAAAGAGUCCACAAUAUAUGAUGACCCAUACACAUGUUUCAAACUGUGAAGCAUAAAUAUACUUAUUGUAGGGAAAAAAUAGUACACAAUGAAAACAACCACAUGGGCCUGGGGUUCACUACCUGCCCCUUUCCACUAGGACAAGACAAAAGGCCUUUGACAUUCUCUUCCCUGAAUCUGUUCUGCAAUCUCUUCUUCAGUUAUCCUUGUGAUUCAUCCAUGGAUCUCCUGCAUGCUGUGCUGGGUCACGUGCCACCAGGAUCCUUCACAGGGCACAUCCUGUCAUUGUAUCAGGUCUGAAGCAGUAAUAGUCAGUGAGCUCUCUCGGUCCUUCCUCCUGCAAAGUCUUCAUCUUCCUAACUCUGACCUUUACUGUUCUUGUUUCUAAUUGCACAACAAAUGUAAUGUGUAGGCUGUAUUUCUCCUCCAGUGAAAAUCCACUUGGUCCAGUGCCUGCUGCUAGUAAACCUAGCUAGUAAGGUUAGAAAACCUCUGCUCUUCAUCAUGCUGAAAGAGAUGGCCUUUAUAGCCCUCUUUAACUGCUGAUGGGAAUAGGACAACUUCUAGGCUGGCUGCCUUGGCUCCCCCAUCCCCGUUAUUCAUAAGGUUUUACUCUAAAUCGUUCCUGCACCCCACUGUUAAGUGUCCUGCCAGAUGCAUCAAGGGGAUUUACAAUCACCCAUUUGUGCACUCCAUGGACUUUCCUGCUUAGUUCUGUAAUUCCCUCUGCUUACGUAGAUGAAACCCAUUGUUACACUUGUGCGCUUACCCAUGUGCUUAGUGCUAGCAAUUCUGAGCACUCGAUAUUGUCAUGAGAAAAUACUACAAGAUUGCAACCCAGCUCUCUGCACAGGCAGGCCUAUCCUCCCCGCAGUAGCAUAUGAGCUCCAUGAAAGCUACAAUCUAGAAUGCUACAUCCCAGUGUCUUGAACUGUGCCUGACAUGUAGUAGGCACCCAAUAGACAUGGGUGGAACAGAUGAUUGAGUUGAUGAGCAGAAAAAAACAAGAGGCAUGUUGCAUCUUCUGUGCACAAAAUCCCACCAGCAAAGGAACCUAUGUACAAGCUUCUUUUUUUGUUAAAGGCCUCCCCUUACACCUCGCCAACCCCACACCCUUUUUCAAUACACAAUCUCCUGGAAAAAAAAAAAUCCCUGUGUGAUCUUUAAAUAUUACCCUUGUGCUGGCACCUUCUUUGCCAAAGGCAGGAAAAACUCGUCUAUCAAGUUUCCCUUCAUUUGAGCAGAGGCAACUAUCUACAGCUUUGGAACUAUGGCUCUCUCACCAGCAGCUGAGCACUUUGAUCUUCAUGCCAUUCCCCGAAAUAAAGAGGCAGAAGCCAAACCGUAGCCUGGUCUCAGCUCUCCUAGCCUCAAGCUGCAUGAGGCAGAACCAUCCAAAGGGCCAGGCAUCCAUGGACAUCUGGCAGAGAGGGCGCAACCCCCUCUGGGCUCCAGCAGCUCUCAGCGGUGCUCCUUUGAGGUUCUUUGUCCCCAGGGAGUCUAGUAUGUGUGGCCAAGAGUUUCACUGGCUCUUUGACUGUAGCAAGCAUCUUAACUUAGUUAAACCUCAGUUUUCUUAUCUAUAAAAUUAGAAUAACAAUAGUAUCUGCCUCACAGGAUCAUUAUGAGAAAUAAAUAAGACAGUAUACACAAAGUGCUUGGCACAAAGUAAGAGCUCAAUAAAUGAUAGCUAUUAUUAUUCCUGCUUGGUAUGAUUUGUUCAUGCACUUUUGUUGUAAACAAAUAAACAAAUGCAACCUGCAAUCUGAAAUAAAUAGAAAAAGCUCACCUAUCAUUAUUAAUUCAUUCAACAAAGACUGUGUCAGGCCCCAGAUGAGACAGGCAAGGUUUUCAAAGUUUUGGUGUUGAGUCUUUAAGUCGUCUGGGUCUUCACUUAAGUUGAUCCCUGGAAUCAUAAGUACUCUCUGUUUGCGUUUCUCUCUCUCAGUGCCCACAACUCAGCUGAAUGUAAUGUUUCAGGACACUUUCCUGAACUGGACACAUCUUAGGCUGGAUCCUUUGGAAGGCAAAUUCUGACAUUAGCGUUUAGGAAAUUUGUAAGAGAGUUCUCUAGGGAUUAAUACCUGUGGAAGAGAGAAGAAGAAAGCAGACUGGUCAGAGGGAGAGUCCAACAAAGCAAUGCAGUCCCAGCAAAGGCCUCAGAAACUCCACAGACAUGUCCCAAAUUGGAGAGAGUGGGCUGGACCUUUAU
rnacentral:lncRNA from 1 species